ACUCUUUAGCGUUUUGGGUAGAAUUUGAUUUCAACCUUGUCGGGCGUUUCGCUAGACACUAACUUAUUGAGUGUA
rnacentral:sRNA from 1 species